GCCUAACACAUGCAAGUCGAGCGGAUGACGGGAGCUUGCUCCUUGAUUCAGCGGCGGACGGGUGAGUAAUGCCUAGGAAUCUGCCUGGUAGUGGGGGACAACGUUUCGAAAGGAACGCUAAUACCGCAUACGUCCUACGGGAGAAAGCAGGGGACCUUCGGGCCUUGCGCUAUCAGAUGAGCCUAGGUCGGAUUAGCUAGUAGGUGAGGUAAUGGCUCACCUAGGCGACGA
rnacentral:rRNA from 1 species